GAGCUGUUCGCUGGGGAUGGUGAUGCUGUGUCUGCAGCCUUGCAGCAGCUCUCAGUCUAUCACAUCAAUGCCAAGCAGGUACGGCUUGUGGUAGGCUUCCCAUUGGACUAGAGUGGGGAAGGAAUGGGUUUUUAUG
rnacentral:miRNA from 12 species